rnacentral:rRNA from 1 species
CGGGACGGGUGAGUAACGCGUGGGUAACCUGCCUGUACUGGGGACGAACAGUUAGAAAUGACUGCUAAUACCGCAUAAGCGCACAGUAUCGCAUGAUACAGUGUGAAAAACUCCGGUGGUACAAGAUGGACCCGCGUCUGAUUAGCUAGUUGGUAAGGUAACGGCUUACCAAGGCGACGAUCAGUAGCCGACCUGAGAGGGUGACCGGCCACAUUGGGACUGAGACACGGCCCAA